rnacentral:lncRNA from 1 species
UGUAUUUGCCUUUGAAUUUUUUGGAUUAUCACUCUGGUUAAAUACAUAAUUAUUUUGUGAGAAAAUAGGCUUGCUUAUGGAAUAUUCCUGGAGAAAACUCCAGUGAUAGAGGUGCUCAUUUUACUGAACGAGCUGCAAAAUAGUCAAGUAUUUCAAACACAAUCGCAUCCAGGAAUCUAACUGAAUAAAUUGGAUUGGCCAAAGGUAUUAUCACUUGAUGGCAAUCAGAUCCAAUCCCACUGGGGAACACUAAUUGACCCCUUACAAAUAGUCAUUGGAAGGCCUAUGCCCCUAAUAAUAGAACUUCAUGUAUCUCACAUUCAUGAAUUGUGACAUGACUCAAUAUUGCCAGGCUUUAAAGCAUGUUGCCCAGUUAUAUUUUCACCAGGUAAAAGCCCUUCAUGACCCAACAACAAUCUAACCAUGUACAACCUAGAACCUGAAGAUUGGGUCUUUGGAAAUUAUACCACAAAAAGACUGCUUUCGAAGUUUGUUGGAAGAGACCAUACCAAGUUCUACCCACAUGGCAGUAUAACUUAAGGGUCUCGAGGCUUAGAUCCACUUUUCUCAAUCUAACAGAACCCCUUCAGAAUCUUGGGACUGUAAACCCACUGAAGACCCCAAGCCCAUGGCAGACAUCCAGCUGAUCACACUGUGUCCACAUAAGGCAAAUGCUGAGCUGUAAUCCAUCAAGCUGUUUCCGCAUAGAGAAAAGGCCAUAUGAGUACACAGCCAGAAGGUGUCUGCCUACAAGACAAAGAGGGAAAACUUACCUGAAACCAACCCUGAUGGAUAUUGGAUUUCUAAGCUCCAGAACUGUGAGAAAAUUAAUUUUAUGUGCUUUAAGACACUCAAUUUGUGGUAUUCUGUUAUGGCAGCCUAUGCUAGUCAAUUUGCAUUACCAUAAAGCAACACCUGAGAGUGGGUAAAUUAUAAAGAAAAGAAGUUGAAUCGGCUCAUGGUUCUGCAGGCAGUACAGAAGCAUAGUGCUGGCAAUUGCCCCUGGCAAGGGGCUCAGGAAGCUUACAAACAUGGCAGAAGGCAAAGGGAAGCCAACAUAUCACACGUAAGCUCAGGAAGCUUACAAACAUGGCAGAAGGCAAAGGGAAGCCAACAUAUCACGUGGCGAGAAAGACAGAGAAGCGGUAGGUCCCAGACUCUUUUAAACAACAAGACCUCAUGUGAACUGAGGGGAAACUCACUUUCACCAAGGAGAUGGUGCUAAACCACUAAUGAGGGAUCUGUCCCAUGAGCCAAUCACCUCCCACCAAGACCUACCUCCAAUUUUGGAAAUUAUAUUUCAACAUGAGAUUUGGAGGGGACAAACAUCCAAACCAUAUCCCAGCCUGAGCAGACUAACAGAGUCUCUGAAUAAAUCUAUGAAAAUGACUAGAGUAUUAUUUUGUUGAGUGAUUUCUUCUUGUAUUAGGAUUGGUCUCCUUGAAAAUAUUUUUCUCAUAUCUGUUAUAAUAAAAUACUGAGAAUCAUACUAAUUCUACUCUAAACUUAGAUAUUUAAGAGGGUUGGAUUUGACUGAUUGCUCUGAUGUUGCUAACAUAGUCAAAGACUUUUCAAAACUAAAGUGUAAUAUUAUGUCAUGCAACCUUGAGAAAAUUACAAUGGACAAAGCAGAACUAUAAUUCACAAUUCAUCUCCCAAACAAAUUGUGACACCCCUUCUUUCCAAUCCACUGAAAUAUGCCUAAAAUGAGAAAAAAGGGAAAUCUUAAAAACAACAACAACAACAACAAAGAAAAAACAGAAAACGGCAACAUUCAGGCAAAAAAGAAUGUGAGGACUAUGAUGCUGGCAUGCUAAACUUAAUUAAUAAUAAAUGAGAGAGUUUGGAAUGAU